UACAGAGGGUGCAAGCGUUGCUCGGAAUUAUUGGGCGUAAAGGGGAGGUAGGUGGUCUCAUUUGUCUGGGGUGAAAUCCUUGAGCUUAACUCAAGAAGUGCCCUAGAAACGGUGAGACUGGAGUACUGGAGAGGGUCGUGGAAUUCCCGGUGUAGCGGUGAAAUGCGUAGAGAUCGGGAGGAACACCAGAGGCGAAGGCGGCGACCUGGACAGUUACUGACACUCAACCCCGAAAGCGUGGGGAGCAAACAGG
rnacentral:rRNA from 1 species